rnacentral:rRNA from 1 species
UUCGCAAUGCCCGAAAGGGUGACGAAGCGACGCCGCGUGUGGGAAGAAGGCCUUCGGGUUGUAAACCACUGUCGGGAGUUAAGAAAUGCAAGGGUGCUAAUAGUAUCCUUGCUUGACUAAGGCUCCGGAGGAAGCCACGGCUAACUCUGUGCCAGCAGCCGCGGUAAUACAGAGGCGGCAAGCGUUGUUCGGAAUUAUUGGGCGUAAAGAGCACGUAGGCGGCUAUGCAAGUCGGUUGUGAAAGCCUUCCGCUCAACGGAAGAACAGCAUCCGAUACUGCAUGGCUUGAGUGCGGGAGGGGAGAGUGGAACUUCUGGUGGAGCGGUGAAAUGCGUAGAUAUCAGAAGGAACGCCGGCGGCGAAAGCGGCUCUCUGGCCCAUAACUGUCGCUGAGUGUGCGAAAGCUAGGGGAGCAAACGGGAUUAGAUACCCCGGUAGACCUAGCCGUAAACGAUGGGCACUAAGUAGAGGGGUUUU